rnacentral:lncRNA from 1 species
GUGUUAUUUUAUAAUUGUAAGGACAAUGAGAUCAUUUUAUUCUUAUUUGAAUAGUUACUUUUAAGUUAUGUUUUAAUAGAGAGCUGCUUUUAUUUGAAACUCAAAUGAAUAGCCACUUUUAAGUUUAAACUUAAGUGGAUAGUUUUCUCUAGUUUAUUCUUAUAUAUAUAUAUUAGUAAAAAAAAUCAAAAUUGAUUCUAUUAAUUUUAUGAAUUGACCCCAUAUCUCAUGCAAUAUUUUAAAAAAUAAAAGAUAAAAAAGAUCAGAUCAAAAAAGUAAUUAUGACAUACAUUUUUUCUCUUUAAUAACUCAUAUAUUCUACUACUCUCUUCCUCUUCCUCUCUCACAUUAAUUUGACUUUCUCUCUCUUUCUCCUUCUUUCUCUUUCUUUAUUAAUUAAUUAAUUAUUUAUCUUUUAAUAUACUAUUUCAAUCUCAUCCAUUCACCUCUUAUAUUUAAGAAUACGCAUCCUUUACUGUGAUAGUACGCAUCAUCCAUUGCAUGAUGAACAGCUGCACGGGACCUCGCGGAGUCAUGCACUGUAGAUGCAUGCCCACGUAUGACCGCAUGUAGCCAUCCAUC